rnacentral:rRNA from 1 species
GACGAACGCUGGCGGCGUGCUUUACACAUGCAAGUCGAACGGUGAAGGUGGAGCUUGCUCCGCCGGAUCAGUGGCGAACGGGUGAGUAACACGUGGGCAACCUGCCCCUAACUUUGGGAUAACUACUCGAAAGAGUAGCUAAUACCGGAUAUGAAGUCUGUAGGCAUCUAUGGAUUUGGAAAGUUUUUCGGUUAGGGAUGGGCCCGCGGCCUAUCAGCUUGUUGGUGAGGUAGUGGCUCACCAAGGCGACGACGGGUAGCUGGCCUGAGAGGGCGACCGGCCACACUGGGACUGAGACACGGCCCAGACUCCUACGGGAGGCAGCAGUGGGGAAUAUUGCGCAAUGGGCGAAAGUCUGACGCAGCAACGCCGCGUGCGGGAUGAAGGCCUUCGGGUUGUAAACCGCUUUCAGCAGGGAAGAAGCGAAAGUGACGGUACCUGCAGAAGAAGCACCGGCUAACUACGUGCCAGCAGCCGCCGCCG